CAGGAACUUGAGCAGCCGCUUGUGUGUGAGGAUGUAGAGCACCGUGCCAGAGACAGGAUCCAGGACUGGAAGGCGAUGGAUCCGGUUCUUAAUGAGGACAUAGACGGCUUCGAACAGGCUGCAGAGAUCUGGACCUAGAGGCAUCGGCAGGAUUCUGGUUUCAGAUGUGGACUUGGCAGGCACCAGGCUCCCUAAAGACCCCCUUCCACCCCAAUACUACUGGCACCCAGGGCUCCCGGCUGCUCCUUACCAGGGGGGACCUGUAGUAUCUGUGAAGCACCAGGAUGAAGUCUGUGAUGAGGUGCUGCCCGCACACCAUUGGCCACCAGGGCAAAGAAGGCCUUCUUGAUCUGAAGGAUGGGACAGAACAGUGGAAGGGUGAGUCCCAAGAGGCCCUCAUACUCCCCUCUUGCUGCCCUUCAGUGGCCACUCCCCUGUCCACCUGCUGUCCUCUUUGCUGUUCCCACCAGAGUCCUUCCUUGGGAUCUUCUCCCAGGUUCUCCUCCACAGGAGCCUGCCUGUCUUUCCCAUGUCAUGGCACACACUAGACCAGAUCCCACUUGGGCACAUUUACAAUUAUAGACAAGGCUGCUUGUGGCGGGAGGUACAGGAAGACCCUCAGCAGUUACAGCAGGUUAGAAGCCCUAAUUCAGAGUCUCCACUUGGAAAUCAUGCAUGUACAGACACAAGCAUAAUUUUUUACUAAUCUAAAUAAGUACUAGAGAUAGAAUUAUUUACAUAAUAUUUACAUAGUUUUUGUCUCUGAAUAAACUAUAAAUUGACUCAUAUUAAACAAUACACUCUGUACAUGCUGGUUGUAUUUUUCUAAUACACAUUAAAAUAAAUACAAAGCUACUGAAAUGAAAGUAUUUGUUUAUGAACUACUAGAACCAAAUUGUGUACUGUAGGUGACAUACAAACCAUGCUUUAAGCAUUUUACAUAUACUACCUGCUCAUUUAUACCAGUAAUAAGAACAGAACCACA